GUUUUGUUUCUUAUUCGACGAACUGAAACUGUGAAAGACUAGAUUGUAGACUCUACGCGUAUACGUAGAGCGGCUACAAAGUAGGGCCCUAGCCUAGGGCCUAGGCCAGGGACGAACGAAAAGAGGUCGAGUGCAUGCUGAGUGUGGUCCGCUCGUUGCAAAAAGUAGAAUAUAUUUCACCGUGACUCUACCGAGCUAGGAAAGGAAGCAGCAAAACGAGGGGAAAUGGUCCAGGUGGGGUAUGCCAUUUACAGAGCAUCUAGCUAGCUGGUCAGACGAAUUCCCGGCAAGGAUUUUGCCACAGGGAGCGAUAUUCGACGCUUUCGAGAAGGCCAUUACCCCAAGCAACAGUCAUCUUUGACGAGCUAUCGAAGCCCUGGUAGAGGCCAUUGUACCCUCGUCAGAAGGCGCUCUGGCGGACUGCUCAAGAGCUGUUACUUCCAAGUACAGUACCUGUACUGUUAGAGACGACUUGGUCGCCAACCUCAAUCCAGUCACGGUCGGCCGUUGCCGCAGCGGAAGCAGCGACCGCGCCCGCACUGGUCAGAGGAGCACACCCAUGGCAGUCACGUCCACGGUCGAUCGGUCCACCCCUCCAGCGCCAGAGUAGCCUGUAGGCAGUAGCACACGCCGCGGCAAUGCCAGCUGAUGGCUGGGAGGUGCGGAGACGCCUGUGCGUACGGGGACCUUACCCACCGACCCGGAACCGGUGGACGAAAGACGCAGGAGUUUCUCGAUCAAGGAAUGAUGAAGAUUGUUGACGGGAUCCCUGGCCUGGGAUGCAAAGAAAAAGCCGCCUGGUCUGGCUCAUAAUAUUGCCGGCCAGUUUCAGUCUUCAUUAGUGCAAGACAGCUAGUGGAGGAUGACAACCUCUAGUGGAGGAUUGCCUGGACCACGCCUGGUGUUACUAUGUACACUUGACUGUGUGUGACCAUUAACAGUUCGUACACAGGUUGAAGAGCAUUGUAAGCACAUCCAUUUCCGUCAGCGUACACACAGCACACUUGACAGCGGCAAGUAGAUGAUGAGAGCGGAUAACUGAAGACAUCACUGCGAUCAGUUCGGCCGAGUAACUCUGAGCUUCGCUGAUGAGACCUAACAAGGUCAAAACGGCUAGCUGUCCGGAGAUUGAGUACGACGACACCUGUAGUGAUAGCACAUGCAAGCUGCUAUUCACCCUUGUCUGGAGAUUA